AUUGAACGCUGGCGGCAGGCUUAACACAUGCAAGUCGAGCGGGGUGAUGGUGCUUGCACUAUCACUUAGCGGCGGACGGGUGAGUAAUGCUUAGGAAUCUGCCUAUUAGUGGGGGACAACAUCUCGAAAGGGAUGCUAAUACCGCAUACGUCCUACGGGAGAAAGCAGGGGAUCACUUGUGACCUUGCGCUAAUAGAUGAGUCUAAGUCGGAUUAGCUAGUUGGUGGGGUAAAGGCCUACCAAGGCGACGAUCUGUAGCGGGCCUGAGAGGAUGAUCCGCCACACUGGGACUGAGACACGGCCCAGACUCCUACGGGAGGCAGCAGUGGGGAAUAUUGGACAAUGGGGGGAACCCUGAUCCAGCCAUGCCGCGUGUGUGAAGAAGGCCUUAUGGUUGUAAAGCACUUUAAGCGAGGAGGAGGCUCUUUUGGUUAAUACCCAAGAUGAGUGGACGUUACUCGCAGAAUAAGCACCGGCUAACUCUGUGCCAGCCGCCGCAGUAA
rnacentral:rRNA from 1 species